rnacentral:rRNA from 1 species
CUGUACUUGGUGUUACUGCGAAGGGGGGACGGAGAAGGCUAUGUUAGCCGGGCGACGGUUGUCCCGGUUUAAGCAUGUAGGCGGAGGUUCCAGGUAAAUCCGGUACCUUUUAACGCUGAGGUGUGAUGACGAGGCACUACGGUGCUGAAGUAACAAAUGCCCUGCUUCCAGGAAAAGCCUCUAAGCAUCAGGUAACAUUAAAUCGUACCCCAAACCGACACAGGUGGUCAGGUAGAGAAUACCAAGGCGCUUGAGAGAACUCGGGUGAAGGAACUAGGCAAAAUGGUGCCGUAACUUCGGGAGAAGGCACG